rnacentral:lncRNA from 1 species
AAGCUCAGCUCCCUGGCAGGCCUAGCUGACACAGGAGUGGGAUGUGAACGGCUGACUAGCCCCACUACAAAUAGCCUCUUUCAGUUUCAUUGAUGCCAGGUGGGAGUAGAUGCUCAGCUACCCGCUGGGCCCGACUGACAGUACCAAAGCAGGAAAAUCAGAGCGUUGCUUGCUUCUGCUGGUGGCAGACAGAAGAUUAGCUCCCUGUUUGACCCUGGAACACCACCAGUUUUGUCCUCUGGAAAUACACAGAAUAAAUACCACCUUUUUCCCCAUGAGACUCCACAGAACAUUCCAUGAAUUCUAAAUUUAUUUAGAAUUGUGAACUUACCUUCAACUGUAGAAGCCAGAUCCUACCAUCCCCAGCCUCCCUUCCACUGAGGUACAGAUUUUUGACUUGGGUUCCACCAAUCAGAUGAAAUCGGUGUGAGACAUCGUUUGGAAGCCAACUGCAAGAGGACCAGGCAGGGUCUAGGGCACCCGUGUUGCUGGUGUGCUGGAGGCAGAGGCAAAGUGGUUCUGGGGUCACAUCUUCCUUAGCAGGUUGGUUCUGUGAAGGGCUUGUGGAUGAUGGCCCUAAAAGCUCAGCCCAAUAUACCCC